GGUAAUACCGGAUGCUCCGCUCCAUCGCAUGGUGGGGUGGGAAAUGCUUUUGCGGCAUGGGAUGGGGUCGCGUCCUAUCAGCUUGUUGGCGGGGUGAUGGCCCACCAAGGCGUUGACGGGUAGCCGGCCUGAGAGGGUGACCGGCCACAUUGGGACUGAGAUACGGCCCAGACUCCUACGGGAGGCAGCAGUGGGGAAUAUUGCACAAUGGGCGCAAGCCUGAUGCAGCGACGCCGCGUGCGGGAUGGAGGCCUUCGGGUUGUAAACCGCUUUUGUUCAAGGGCAAGGCACGGUUUCGGCCGUGUUGAGUGGAUUGUUCGAAUAAGCACCGGCUAACUACGUGCCAGCAGCCGCGGUAAUACGUAGGGUGCGAGCGUUAUCCGGAUUUAUUGGGCGUAAAGGGCUCGUAGGCGGUUCGUCGCGUCCGGUGUGAAAGUCCAUCGCCUAACGGUGGAUCUGCGCCGGGUACGGGCGGGCUGGAGUGCGGUAGGGGAGACUGGAAUUCCCGGUGUAACGGUGGAAUGUGUAGAUAUCGGG
rnacentral:rRNA from 1 species